rnacentral:lncRNA from 1 species
GGGUGAGGGGUACUCCGAACUUUCCUGCCUCUUCUGAACGCCCCUCUUCACCUUUCUUUGCAGUGGUGGCUUCUCAAGCCCCUAGGAAGGUGCUUGGCUCCUCCACCUUUGUCACCAAUUCUUCCGGUUCGUCGAGAAAAGCUGAAAAUAAGUAUGCUGGAGGGAACCCAGUCUGUGUGCGCCCAACUCCCAAGUGGCAAAAAGGCAUCGGGGAAUUCUUCAGGUUGUCCCCUAAAGAUUCUAAAAAAGAAAACCAGAUUCCUGAAGAAGCAGGAAGCAGUGGCUUAGGAAAAGCAAAGAGAAAAGCAUGUCCUUUGCAACCUGAUCACAGAGAUGAUGAAAAUGAAUAGAACUUAUUCAUCUGAAUAAUGUCUUCAGUUUACUUACAUAUUCUA